GAUGAACGCUGGCGGCGUGCCUAAUACAUGCAAGUCGAGCGAACAGAUGAGGAGCUUGCUCCUCUGACGUUAGCGACGGACGGGUGAGUAACACGUGGAUAACCUACCUAUAAGACUGGGAUAACUUCGGGAAACCGGAGCUAAUACCGGAUAAUAUAUUGAACCGCAUGGUUCAAUAGUGAAAGACGGUUUUGCUGUCACUUAUAGAUGGAUCCGCGCCGCAUUAGCUAGUUGGUAAGGUAACGGCUUACCAAGGCAACGAUGCGUAGCCGACCUGAGAGGGUGAUCGGCCACACUGGAACUGAGACACGGUCCAGACUCCUACGGGAGGCAGCAGUAGGGAAUCUUCCGCAAUGGGCGAAAGCCUGACGGAGCAACGCCGCGUGAGUGGUGAAGGUCUUCGGAUCGUAAAACUCUGUUAUUAGGGAAGAACAAAUGUGUAAGUAACUAUGCACGUCUUGACGGUACCUAAUCAGAAAGCCACGGCUAACUACGUG
rnacentral:rRNA from 1 species